rnacentral:tRNA from 1 species
GUUAGGGUGGCAGAGCCAGGUAGUGUAAUAAGACUUAAAAUUUUAUAACAGAUGUUCAAAUCAUCUCCCUAAUA